UACGGAGGGGGCUAGCGUUGUUCGGAAUUACUGGGCGUAAAGCGCGCGUAGGCGGACCUGCAAGUCGGGGGUGAAAGCCCGAGGCUCAACCUCGGAACUGCCUUCGAUACUGCGGAUCUCGAGUCCGGGAGAGGUGAGUGGAAUUCCUAGUGUAGAGGUGAAAUUCGUAGAUAUUAGGAAGAACACCAGUGGCGAAGGCGGCUCACUGGCCCGGUACUGACGCUGAGGCGCGAAAGCGUGGGGAGCAAACAGG
rnacentral:rRNA from 1 species